CUUUGAAGGACGUAAGAAGAUUUCACAAAAUCGACGUCGCAGUGUGACAUCGAGAUAUGGUUACCUAGAGCCAUCCCGAAUGACCAUCUAUCUUCGAUAUCCAGAAUGAGGUUCCCUAGAGUAAUUUACUGGUUUGUUUUUCCUUUGAUCAUGCGCUAACAGCUUUCACAGAGGGGACGGGUGGUGACACGCGACGGUUCUCAUUGACUGGCGGUGCGUAUGGACAGGGAAAAGUCUUUCAACGGGCGUUUCUGGGUUCCGAAGCUGGGCACUGGUGCGUGAGCUGACUAGAACAUUAUCCGUGUUUCUCAGCUUAAGCGUCUGUAAGCUUUCGCAAUGUCGUUGUCGUAUAUUAACAGCUACAAGCAAUAAUGCCAGCGAUUGUUGCAUCCCGCCGGCUGGCGGCGCUACUUUUCGACCGUCAGGAACCUCAAGAGGAAGCCAAUCGACGAUAUCUGUCAGCUGAGGAUCUCCUCCCACCUUCAACAAGCCGUUGUUCAGUAUGAUACAUACAGACGGGGCAGCAUGCCUGUUGUUUGUAGAUUUUGUCUGCCAUCCCGUCGUUCUUGCUGUGCACUCCAGUUUGUAAAGCACCGCAUGUUUUGAAAAACUAUUCGCGUCUGCGUUACAGCGAGAACCGGUUGCCCUUGCCCUUACGACAAUAGCUGCGUUCUACUUCAUGACGAGUUGACUGACAAAAAGCAACUGCCCAUGGUCUGGGUUUUUGAUCUUGCCUGCUUUUCGUACUGUAAUCUACUGUGUCGUUUUUGACUUCAACCGUCUUCUACUUAUGUUAGCCUUUUCUUCGCUUUAACUUGACAACGCCUUUGUAAGAUUAUUUGUCUCAGUUCUCCAGUUGGCAAGGUCAUACGCAAGUAACAUUUAUUGACUGUUGAUUGGUGCACCAUGUGAGUUAGUGUGCCAGGCAAAGCCAUAUCUCGCUGUCGCUCUUCUUUCUUUAUUAAGAGCGCCUGCCUGUUCCCAGACGCAGAUUCUUGUGACAUGCCUCCGUAUGUCCUCUGGCGUGGGCCUUGGAGAACGCCUUAAGCGGACUAGGGACGAUCUAAUCGCGUCUUUGCAAGUGCCAGGAGCUAUGACUUCGUCAAACUUUCUAGCGGUUAAAACCCCUAGUCGUUGAACUUUAUCUUAAUGAGUCCAGUUUCCGACCACACCCGAGGCACUGGCAAACAAAUGUCACCCUGUUGAAUCGUCCAUCUAUGAAAAUCAAUGUAACGAAAUACCUUGGUUUGACAAAGACUGAGGGAGUGGCCGAUUAUCUAAUUUCAUACCAAAAGGUAAGACGAAACAACCAAGGAGUAGUACUGUCCACUGCGUGUGACCCAGUAGAAAAAUCCAAUACCAGACUGCUUAAAGCCUCCGAAAGAAGGCAUGACGUCGGCACAAGGACGAGCUAAAGAGGACGAAGCUGGUAGAGCCUCUCACCAGCCCGGCAGAAGCGAGUACGGUUGCAUGUGGUAAUGACAGACGCCUCCGGAACCACUUGACAGUUUGGACGGAAAGAAGCAAGUAUGACUCCUUUUCCUACUUCUUUGCCGACCCUUCCCGAGGCAACCAGUUCCACAGAAAACCAGACGCUCGCGGCAGAACUUCAAGACUGCCCCAUCGUUGAGACCCAACGCUAACAGUAUCUUUUGCUCAACGAAAGCUAAAAUUAUCUAUUGGUCUCAGCUUUCUUUCCCAAUGUGCACGCUUUCCUGAACAGUAGUCGGUUUUUUCGUGUGAGAAUUUCGAGCCCUCCCAUAUGCUUGACUUGCCUCAUUGGUUCGGCUGAUCACAUGAUAAAGUUUGGAGAUGGCGUGCUUGAGUGUGUAGCUGUCAAGAGUUCCGCAGUAGAUGAGCACGCGCAGAAUGCAGAGGUGGUAGUGGAAUGCGGUGAAGGGAGUGUUAUGUAAGAACCGGAACGUAGGCUGGGACGGAAGAACAGAGAGGGGAACAAGAGGCACUGUUUGUUUGCCUCCUUUCGCUGCUACACGCGUUCUUUCCAUACACAUGGAAACUCCGCGUAGCGCUCAGGGACAUACCGGACACACCUGAGCAGUGUCGGACGUCGCUUGUUGGGCAGCUGUGCCCCGGGGUGUUGCACAGUACCCGAAGGAUAAGGAACUGGAACGACGCUUCCAGGAUCUAUUCCCCUAUUCCUGCACACAUGAUCGCAGGCUGGAGGGGAAACAAAAGACUAUUGUGUUCCUUCUGUUGUCGAUAAUGAGGCAGCAGAAUGAACUAAUGGACGCAGUGCAGAUGCGAACUAUGGAGCUG
rnacentral:lncRNA from 1 species